rnacentral:rRNA from 1 species
UACGUAGGGUGCAAGCGUUAAUCGGAAUACUGGGCGUAAAGCGUGCGCAGGCGGUUAUGUAAGACAGAUGUGAAAUGCCCGGGCUUAACCUGGGAACUGCAUUUGUGACUGCAUGGCUAGAGUUUGGCAGAGGGGGGUAGAAUUCCACGUGUAGCAGUGAAAUGCGUAGAUAUGUGGAGGAACACCGAUGGCGAAGGCAGCCCCCUGGGUCAAGACUGACGCUCAUGCACGAAAGCGUGGGGAGC